UACAGAGGUCUCAAGCGUUGUUCGGAUUCAUUGGGCGUAAAGGGUGCGUAGGCGGCGCGGUAAGUCGGGUGUGAAAUCUCGGAGCUUAACUCCGAAACUGCAUUCGAUACUGCCGUGCUUGAGGACUGGAGAGGAGACUGGAAUUUACGGUGUAGCGGUGAAAUGCGUAGAUAUCGUGAAGGAAGACCAGUGGCGAAGGCGGGUCUCUGGACAGUUCCUGACGCUGGAGGCACGAAGGCCAGGGGAGCAAACGGG
rnacentral:rRNA from 1 species